rnacentral:rRNA from 1 species
UCCGUUGGUGAACCAGCGGAGGGAUCAUUACCGAGUUAUACAACUCAUCAACCCUGUGAACAUACCUAAAACGUUGCUUCGGCGGGAACAGACGGCCCCGUAACACGGGCCGCCCCCGCCAGAGGACCCCUAACUCUGUUUCUUAUUAUGUUUCUUCUGAGUAAAACAAGCAAAUAAAUUAAAACUUUCAACAACGGAUCUCUUGGCUCUGGCAUCGAUGAAGAACGCAGCGAAAUGCGAUAAGUAAUGUGAAUUGCAGAAUUCAGUGAAUCAUCGAAUCUUUGAACGCACAUUGCGCCCGCCAGUAUUCUGGCGGGCAUGCCUGUUCGAGCGUCAUUACCAACCCUCAGGCCCCCGGGCCUGGCGUUGGGGAUCGGCGGAAGCCCCCUGCGGGCACAAGCCGUCCCCCAAAUACAGUGGCGGUCCCGCCGCAGCUUCCAUUGCGUAGUAGCUAACACCUCGCAACUGGAGAGCGGCGCGGCCACGCCGUAAAACACCCAACUUCUGACAUGUUGACCUCGAAUCAGGUAGGAAUACCCGCUGAACUUAA